UACAGAGGCCACAAGCGUUAGUCGGAAUCACUGGGCUUAAAGGGUGCGUAGGCGGCUCGAAAAGUGCUUUGUGAAAUCCCGGGGCUCAACCCCGGAACAGCAGGGCAUACUUUCGAGCUCGAGGCAGGUAGGGGUCGCGAGAACAGUAGGUGGAGCGGUGAAAUGCGUAGAUAUCUACUGGAAUGCCGAUGGUGAAGACGCGCGACUGGGCCUGUCCUGACGCUGAGGCACGAAAGCGUGGGGAGCAAACAGG
rnacentral:rRNA from 1 species